rnacentral:rRNA from 1 species
CUACCCGGGUAUCUAAUCCUGUUUGCUCCCCACGCUUUCGUGCAUGAGCGUCAGUAUUGGCCCAGGGGGCUGCCUUCGCCAUCGGUGUUCCUCCACAUCUCUACGCAUUUCACUGCUACACGUGGAAUUCCACCCCCCUCUGCCAAACUCUAGCCUCGCAGUCACAAACGCAGUUCCCAGGUUGAGCCCGGGGAUUUCACGUCUGUCUUACGAAACCGCCUGCGCACGCUUUACGCCCAGUAAUUCCGAUUAACGCUCGCACCCUACGUAUUACCGCGGCUGCUGGCAC